rnacentral:rRNA from 1 species
ACGGGGGCAGCAGUGGGGAAUAUUGCACAAUGGGCGAAAGCCUGAUGCAGCGACGCCGCGUGAGUGAUGAAGUAUUUCGGUAUGUAAAGCUCUAUCAGCAGGGAAGAUAAUGACGGUACCUGACUAAGAAGCACCGGCUAAAUACGUGCCAGCAGCCGCGGUAAUACGUAUGGUGCAAGCGUUAUCCGGAUUUACUGGGUGUAAAGGGAGCGCAGGCGGUACGGCAAGUCUGAUGUGAAAGCCCGGGGCUCAACCCCGGUACUGCAUUGGAAUCUGUCGAACUAGAGUGUCGGAGGGGUAAGUGGAAUUCCUAGUGUCGCGGUGAAAUGCGUAGAUAUUAGGAGGAACACCAGUGGCGAAGGCGGCUUACUGGACGAUAACUGACGCUGAGGCUCGAAAGCGUGGGGAGCAAACAGGAUUAGAUACCCUGGUA